rnacentral:misc_RNA from 1 species
CGCACAUUGCGCCCCCUGGUAUUCCGGCGGGCAUGCCUAUUCGAGCGUCAUUUCUAUCCUCAAGCUCUGCUUGGUAUUGGGAGGAAGGCCUCAUCCCCCAGGGGAGGAGGCCCCCCCGAAAAUCAGCGGCGGAUCGGCCGGGGUCCCAGCGCAGUGACUUUUUUUUCUCGCUGAUUGGAUCCCCGGGCGGCUCUUGCCGGGCAACAAAACCAUUUAAUCAUCAAGAUUGACCUCGGAUUAGGUAGGGAUACCCGCUGAACUUAA